GAGAUCUGAUGAUGAAGAUGAUGGAGGCGGUAACAGUACCAACUUGGACACUGAAAACACAGGCACCUACAAAAGGCCACCGAAGAUGCAGUCAAUUAAAGAAAGAAAUUAUGCUGAUGACGCUGAUGACGACAUGAGUGAUGUUUCUGGCAGUGAAUAUGGCGAUGGAGGGGUGUGCCAUAAGACAGUUAAGAAGACUGUCAAGAAAAAAAAGACAAUGUUGGGAAGACAUGGAUUGGGUGAGUCUCUAACAUUAGCACAAGUGACAUGUUACAGACCUGGCAUUAGUAAGAUUUUUUUUCUUACUCUAAGUCAGGGGUGUCAAACUCAUUUCACUCUGUCAAACUCAGGCCACAUUGGCCUCGGUAGAUGUUAAGUGGGCCGAGCCAUUAAAAUUAUACCGUACUCUGCUAUAAAGAAGCACAAGAACAUUC